UUCAGUGUGGAAUAGCGGUUUGAGCAUUGGACUACAACUCUGGAGACCAGGGUUCAAAUCCCUGGAUGACC
rnacentral:tRNA from 1 species